UACGUAGGUGGCAAGCGUUGUCCGGAAUUACUGGGUGUAAAGGGAGCGCAGGCGGGAAGCCAAGUCAGCUGUGAAAACUACGGGCUUAACUUGUGGACUGCAGUUGAAACUGGUUUUCUUGAGUGAAGUAGAGGUUGGCGGAAUUCCGAGUGUAGCGGUGAAAUGCGUAGAUAUUCGGAGGAACACCGGUGGCGAAGGCGGCCAACUGGGCUUUAACUGACGCUGAGGCUUGAAAGUGUGGGGAGCAAACAGG
rnacentral:rRNA from 1 species